CACCAGCCCCUCGAGUGGUGGGGAUGAUUAUUUGGCCUAAAGCGUCCGUAGCCGGCCGGGUAAGUCUCCCGUUAAAUCCAGCGUCUCAAGCGUUGGACUGCGGGAGAUACUGUCUGGCUAGAGAGUGGGAGAGGUGUACGGUAUUCUGGGGGUAGGGGCGAAAUCCUUUGAUCCCCGGAGGACCACCAGUGGCGAAGGCUGUACACUAGAACACGUCUGACGGUCAGGGACGAAAGCUGGGGUAGCGAACCGGAUUAGAUACCCGGGUAGUCCCAGCCGUAAAACGAUGCACGCUAGGUGUUGGGGCGGCCACGAGCCGCCCCAGUGCCGCAGGGAAGCCGUUAAAGCGUGCCGCCUGGGGAGUACGGCCGCAAGGCUGAAACUUAAAGGAAUUGGCGGGGGAGCACCACCAGGCGUGAAGCCUGCGGUUU
rnacentral:rRNA from 1 species